rnacentral:rRNA from 1 species
CCCUUAGAUGUUCUGGGCCGCACACGCGCUACAAUGGUGAAUUCAACAAGUCAACCAAAGCCGAUAGGUGGAGGUAAACUCGUAGUAUUCGCCGUGAUGGGGAUAGACCCUUGUAAUUAUUGGUCUCCAACGAGGAAUUCCUAGUAGACGCAAGCCAUCAACUUGCAUCGAUUACGUCCCUGCCCUUUGUACACACCGCCCGUCGCACCUACCGAUUGAAUGGUCCGGUGAAGUCUUCGGACAGUGGCAGUUUACUGCUACUGAAAGUUGAGUGAACCUUACCAUUUAGAGGAAGGUGAAGUCGUAACA